rnacentral:piRNA from 1 species
CUUGAUGAUUGUGCAACUCUGUGGAU